GAAGCGUCAUUUGUUAGUUAUAUAACCCAAGAAUGUAAUACGGAAGUUGGUUGCCAUUACAUUCCUGAAUAUGCAAUUGUACAGCAUAGGCAUGUGAAUCAUUCAGUUCCUUAUGUGUGUUGUUGUAUUGAUCGGAAUGCAGACAUCAAGACCAGAGUACAAUCAAAUCCUUGUGAAGAUGCCUGGGGUUGUGACUUAUAGGGAAAUCAGGUGCUCUAGCAAUUGCAGUUGCUAAUCCUACUGAAUCUUUUGAAAGUCCAACUUCAAUCAGAAGGAAAAUUGUCACUUGUGUACAUAGUUGUACACAAGUGAAGAUGGUGUUACUGAGAUUUCAAGGGUGUUAGAACUGUUGAUUUUAUGAAUAUGAGAUGGAGACAGUACUUACUUUGUGUGAUUUAGAGUCUGCAGUGACUAAGAUGAUAACAAAAUGAAGAAGCGCUGUGUAUUGUUGUUGGCUGAGCACUUACAGGGUAUGGAUGAGCUGCAGCUAGAUAUGAAGCAAUUGCAGGUGAUGCUAUGGGAAAUUUGGAAGAAUGGGUUUGCUUCUAUGUUGCAGUACAAAGAAUGGUGCAUCUGAGUAAUUGGUGCUAUUGAGAUGGUAGAACUCUAAAGUGGUGAUCAGGUGAAUAAAUAUCAAAUGCCGAUGGAAUUGCAAAGAUAAAAUCUGAAAUGUGUGAUGUUGGUGGUACUGAGGAGCAGAAUUUAUGUUGUUAUUGGAUGGGUAGUGUUGCUGCAGAAAAGUGCAACUAAGAUUGGAAAGCUACAGAAACGGAUAAAACAUUUGAGUUGAAUGGUUGAGGUGUUGUAGUUGUUUGCAGCAGAAGGGUAAAGAGUGGUUGAGCGUUGGAGCUGGUGUUGGUAAUGAGUUUCGGUUGUAAACAGGUUGUAUUUUGUAGAUGUGUACAUGUUUGUAUGCCAAUGUAAACUAAAUAUUUUAAAAAAUGAGAACUAUAUAGUCAUAUGGGUACUCUUUUUGUA